CUACGGGGCGCUCCAGUAGGGAAUCUUCCACAAUGGACGAAAGUCUGAUGGAGCAAUACCAUGUGAACGAUGAAGGUCUUUUUGAUUGUAAAGUUCUUUUAUGAGGGAUAACAACUGAUAGUACCUCAUGAAUAAGUGACAGCAAACUAUGUGCCAGCAGCUGCGGUAAUACAUAGGUCGCAAGCAUUAUUCGGAUUUAUUGGGCGUAAAGCAAGCGCAGGCGGAUGUGUAAGUUCUGUGUUAAAAGUAGCUACUUAAUAGUUGUUUGCACCGAAUACUACAUGUCUAGAAUGUGGUAGGAAGUUUUGGAAUUAAACAUGGAGCGGUGGAAUGUGUAGAUAUGUUUAAGAACACCGGAGGCGAAGGCGAAAACUUAGGCCAUAAUUGACGCUUAGGCUUGAAAGUGUGGGGAGCAAAUGGGAUUAGAUACCCCUGUAGUC
rnacentral:rRNA from 1 species